GAUGAACGCUGGCGGCGUGCCUAAUACAUGCAAGUCGAGCGAACAGACGAGGAGCUUGCUCCUCUGACGUUAGCGGCGGACGGGUGAGUAACACGUGGAUAACCUACCUAUAAGACUGGGAUAACUUCGGGAAACCGGAGCUAAUACCGGAUAAUAUAUUGAACCGCAUGGUUCAAUAGUGAAAGACGGUUUUGCUGUCACUUAUAGAUGGAUCCGCGCCGCAUUAGCUAGUUGGUAAGGUAACGGCUUACCAAGGCAACGAUGCGUAGCCGACCUGAGAGGGUGAUCGGCCACACUAGAACUGAGACACGGUCCAGACUCCUACGGGAGGCAGCAGUAGGGAAUCUUCCGCAAUGGGCGAAAGCCUGACGGAGCAACGCCGCGUGAGUGAUGAAGGUCUUCGGAUCGUAAAACUCUGUUAUUAGGGAAGAACAAAUGUGUAAGUAACUAUGCACGUCUUGACGGUACCGAAUCAGAAAGCCACGGCUAACUACGUG
rnacentral:rRNA from 1 species